rnacentral:piRNA from 1 species
UAGGAUCUGCUAGGACCCUGCAGCUGUGC